rnacentral:rRNA from 1 species
CACGAACGUGCGAUAAGGGGACUCCGAGUGCGAGGGCAAACAGUCCUCGCUAUUGUGUACCGUAGGGUGGUACACGACCAAGAGCUGGGCAAGACCGGUGCCAGCCGCCGCGGUAAUACCGGCAGCUCGAGUGAUGGCCGAUUUUAUUGGGCCUAAAGCGUCCGUAGCUGGCCCUGCAAGUCCGUCGGGAAAUCCACUCGCCUAACGAGUGGGCGUCCGGCGGAAACUACAGGGCUUGGGACCGGAAGACUUGAGGGGUACGUCUGGGGUAGGAGUGAAAUCCUGUAAUCCUGGACGGACCGCCGAUAGCGAAAGCACCUCAAGACGACGGAUCCGACAGUGAGGGACGAAAGCUAGGGUCUCGAACCGGAUUAGAUACCCGGGUAGUCCUAGCUGUAAACGAUGUUCGAUAGAUGUGGCACAGGCUACGUGCCUGUGCUGUGUCGUAGGAAGCCGAGAAGCG